UACGAAGGGUGCAAGCGUUACUCGGAAUUACUGGGCGUAAAGCGUGCGUAGGUGGUUCGUUAAGUCUGUCGUGAAAGCCCCGGCUCAACCUGGGAAAUGGCGAUGGAUACUGGCGAGCUAGAGUGCGGUAGAGGAGAGUGGAAUUCCCGGUGUAGCAGUGAAAUGCGUAGAGAUCGGGAGAACAUCAGUUGCGAAGGCGGCUCUCUGGACCAGCACUGACACUGAGGCACGAAAGCGUGGGGAGCAAACAGG
rnacentral:rRNA from 1 species